UGAGUAAUGUCUGGGAAACUGCCUGAUGGAGGGGGAUAACUACUGGAAACGGUAGCUAAUACCGCAUAACGUCGCAAGACCAAAGUGGGGGACCUUCGGGCCUCACACCAUCGGAUGUGCCCAGAUGGGAUUAGCUAGUAGGUGGGGUAAUGGCUCACCUAGGCGACGAUCCCUAGCUGGUCUGAGAGGAUGACCAGCCACACUGGAACUGAGACACGGUCCAGACUCCUACGGGAGGCAGCAGUGGGGAAUAUUGCACAAUGGGCGCAAGCCUGAUGCAGCCAUGCCGCGUGUAUGAAGAAGGCCUUCGGGUUGUAAAGUACUUUCAGCGGGGAGGAAGGCGGUGAAGUUAAUAGCUUCACCGAUUGACGUUACCCGCAGAAGAAGCACCGGCUAACUCCGUGCCAGCAGCCGCGGUAAUACGGAGGGUGCAAGCGUUAAUCGGAAUUACUGGGCGUAAAGCGCACGCAGGCGGUCUGUCAAGCCGGAUGUGAAAUCCCCGGG
rnacentral:rRNA from 1 species